AUGAACGCUAGCGACAGGCUUAACACAUGCAAGUCGAGGGGCAGCAUGGUCUUAGCUUGCUAAGACUGAUGGCGACCGGCGCACGGGUGAGUAACACGUAUCCAACCUGCCGUCUACUCUUGGACAGCCUUCUGAAAAGGAAGAUUAAUACAAGAUGGCAUCAUGAGUCCGCAUGUUCACAUGAUUAAAGGUAUUCCGGUAGACGAUGGGGAUGCGUUCCAUUAGAUAGUAGGCGGGGUAACGGCCCACCUAGUCUUCGAUGGAUAGGGGUUCUGAGAGGAAGGUCCCCCACAUUGGAACUGAGACACGGUCCAAACUCCUACGGGAGGCAGCAGUGAGGAAUAUUGGUCAAUGGGCGAGAGCCUGAACCAGCCAAGUAGCGUGAAGGAUGACUGCCCUAUGGGUUGUAAACUUCUUUUAUAAAGGAAUAAAGUCGGGUAUGUAUACCCGUUUGCAUGUACUUUAUGAAUAAGGAUCGGCUAACUCCGUG
rnacentral:rRNA from 1 species